ACCUGGCUAGCUCAGUUGGUAGAGCACAUGACUCUUGAUCUCACGAUCGUGGGUUUGAGCCCCACAUUGGGUG
rnacentral:tRNA from 1 species